ensembl:ncRNA F28D1.20 ncRNA
CAAAAUCACUCAGUACAAUGCAACUGUUGAAAGUCCAAUUUAAAACAAUUGUCGUGGGCACUUAGGCAGCAGAUACGCCUGUAGGCAGGCAGGAGGCAGGCAUGAUUCUCCUACGUAGAUUAAGGACAACUAGAGAAAAAGUCGAAAGC